rnacentral:rRNA from 1 species
UGAGCUGUGGAUAGGGGUGAAAGGCUAACAAAUCCGGAGAUAGCUGGUUCUCCUCGAAAGCUAUUUAGGUAGCGCCUCGUGUAUCACUCUCGGGGGGUAGAGCACUGUAAUGGUUGGGGGGGUCGUCUAGACCUACCCCGCCAUAGCAAACUCCGAAUACCGAGAAGUGCGAGCACGGGAGACAGACGGUGGGUGCUAACGUCCAUCGUCAAGAGGGAAACAACCCAGACCCACAGCUAAGGUCCCCAAUGAUGUGCUAAGUGGAAAACGAAGUGGGAAGGCAUAGACAGCCAGGAAGUUGGCUUAGAAGCAGCCAUCCUUUUAAAGAAAGCGUAAUAGCUCACUGGUCGAGUCGUCCUGCGCGGAAGAUGUAACGGGGGCUCAAACUGUGCACCGAAGC